rnacentral:rRNA from 1 species
CAGCAGCCGCGGUAAUACAGAGGGUGCGAGCGUUAAUCGGAAUUACUGGGCGUAAAGCGCGCGUAGGUGGUUUGUUAAGUUGGAUGUGAAAGCCCCGGGCUCAACCUGGGAACUGCAUCCAAAACUGGCAAGCUAGAGUACGGUAGAGGGUGGUGGAAUUUCCUGUGUAGCGGUGAAAUGCGUAGAUAUAGGAAGGAACACCAGUGGCGAAGGCGACCACCUGGACUGAUACUGACACUGAGGUGCGAAAGCGUGGGGAGCAAACAGGAUUAGAUACCCCCGUAGUCCCUGUCUCUUAUAC